CCACAUGCGGCCAUUGCCGGCUCACGUAGGUUCGUUCGCGUGGUCUUGUUACGCCUCGCUGGAUCGUGUUCAGUCAUGCCGUCCUUGCGCGGCGUGAUUGUCGGUGAGUCAGGUUAAAUUCUUAAAUAGGUCGCGCCUGCGCCUAAUCGAGUCUAUAAAAGCCUGCACAUUCAGUUUUGCUAGCUACAAUGCAGUGCGGCUGGCGUGAGCUGUCUCCACGAUGCGCUUCGAGCGUGUCGAUUUCGCCGUUCUUUAUGUUGGCGUUAACGACCUUGUGCGACAACAUCAAGGCCUUAAUUGUUCAACGAGACGGCCCCCGUCGUGCUGGUUUUCAAGGUGCUCCCUCGCUGCCUAGAAGAUGCUGAUGCGGAAUAGAAAAUGCAAAAACGUCGCUUGCUCAACCGCAAAUUGACGGCUACGCUGAAGCGCAUACCGUGUCUGCGGAAUUUGAACCCCGAGGUAUGGACCCCCUUUUUCCAGCGGCAUGCCGUUACAUACCGUCAGGAACACGCUUGGCUUAUUUCUGACUCGGUAAAAAAUGUUUCACUUUUUCUCGCUUCUCGCUGCGGAAGAAAUGCGGACCGUUUGUCGUAGUUGUGUCUCCAUUACAGGGUGGCAUUACUGCGGUGAAUAAAGCAAGUGUUGCCGUA